rnacentral:rRNA from 1 species
GAUGAACGCUGGCGGCGUGCCUAACACAUGCAAGUCGAACGAGAUGCGUAUUGGAAAGCUUCGGCCGGAAGAUGCGUUAUCUAGUGGCGGACGGGUGAGUAACACGUGGGUAACCUGCCUUAUGGAGGGGGAUAACAGAGAGAAAUCACUGCUAAUACCGCAUAAGCACACAUUGCCGCAUGGCAGAGUGUGAAAAGAUUUAUCGCCAUAAGAUGGACCCGCGUCUGAUUAGCCAGUUGGCAGGGUAAAAGCCUACCAAAGCAACGAUCAGUAGCCGAUCUGAGAGGAUGACCGGCCACAUUGGGACUGCGACACGGCCCAAACUCCUACGGGAGGCAGCAGUGGGGAAUAUUGCACAAUGGGGGAAACCCUGAUGCAGCGACGCCGCGUGAGUGAAGAAGUAUUUCGGUAUGUAAAGCUCUAUCAGCAGGGAAGAUAAUGACAGUACCUGACUAAGAAGCCCCGGCUAACUACGU